CAGUAGCCGCGGGAAUACGUAGGUGGCAAGCGUUAUCCGGAAUUAUUGGGCGUAAAGCGCGCGUAGGCGGUUUUUUAAGUCUGAUGUGAAAGCCCACGGCUCAACCGUGGAGGGUCAUUGGAAACUGGAAAACUUGAGUGCAGAAGAGGAAAGUGGAAUUCCAUGUGUAGCGGUGAAAUGCGCAGAGAUAUGGAGGAACACCAGUGGCGAAGGCGACUUUCUGGUCUGUAACUGACGCUGAUGUGCGAAAGCGUGGGGAUCAAACAGGAUUAGAUACCCCUGUAGUCCCUGUCUCUUAUAC
rnacentral:rRNA from 1 species